rnacentral:rRNA from 1 species
GUGGGGAAUUUUGGACAAUGGGCGCAAGCCUGAUCCAGCAAUGCCGCGUGCAGGAAGAAGGCCUUCGGGUUGUAAACUGCUUUUGUACGGAACGAAACGGUCCGGGUUAAUACCCUGGGCUAAUGACGGUACCGUAAGAAUAAGCACCGGCUAACUACGUGCCAGCAGCCGCGGUAAUACGUAGGGUGCAAGCGUUAAUCGGAAUUACUGGGCGUAAAGCGUGCGCAGGCGGUUUUGUAAGACAGGCGUGAAAUCCCCGGGCUCAACCUGGGAAUUGCGAUUGUGACUGCAAGGCUGGAGUGCGGCAGAGGGGGAUGGAAUUCCGCGUGUAGCAGUGAAAUGCGUAGAUAUGCGGAGGAACACCGAUGGCGAAGGCAAUCCCCUGGGCCUGCACUGACGCUCAUGCACGAAAGCGUGGGGAGCAAACAGGAUUAGAAACCCUAGUAGUCC